rnacentral:rRNA from 1 species
GCACAAGCGGCGGAGCAUGCGGCUUAAUUCGAUGCAACCCGAAGAACCUUACCUGGGCUUGACAUCAUGGGAAAAGCCGUAGAGAUACGGUGUGCAUUAGCGUCCAUGACAGGUGGUGCAUGGCUGUCGUCAGCUCGUGUCGUGAGAUGUUGGGUUAAGUCCCGCAACGAGCGCAACCCUUGUCCUAUGUUGCCAGCGGUUCGGCCGGGGACUCAUAGGAGACUGCCGGGGACAACUCGGAGGAAGGUGAGGACGACGUCAAGUCAUCAUGCCCCUUAUGUCCAGGGCUGCACGCAUGCUACAAUGGUCGGUACAACGGGCUGCGAUCCCGCGAGGGUGAGCGAAUCCCUUAAAGCCGGCCUCAGUUCGGAUUGGAGUCUGCAACUCGACUCCAUGAAGUCGGAGUCGCUAGUAAUCGCGGAUCAGCAAAGCCGCGGUGAAUGCGUUCUCGGGGAUU